rnacentral:rRNA from 1 species
AGAGUUUGAUCCUGGCUCAGGAUGAACGCUAGCGGCAGGCUUAAUACAUGCAAGUCGAGGGGCAGCGCUGUAGCAAUACUGGCGGCGACCGGCAAACGGGUGCGGAACACGUACGCAACUUACCCCUAACUAAGGGAUAGCCCAGAGAAAUUUGGAUUAACCCCUUAUAGUACGACUGGUCGGCAUCGAUUGGUUGUUAA